rnacentral:rRNA from 1 species
CAGCUAGCUUACCCACCAAUAUUAACCAAACAAUAUAAAUAAAAUAAAAUAAACCGACCACCAAAAACUAAACCAUUCUUUUACCUGAGUAUGGGAGACAGAAAAGGUUAAACCCAAAGCAAUAGAAAUAGUACCGCAAGGGAAAGCUGAAAGAGAAAUGAAAUAACCCAUAUAAGCACCAAAAAGCAAAGACUAAGCCUUGUACCUUUUGCAUCAUGAUUUAGCCAGUAAACACAAGCAAAGAGACCUUUAGUUUGAAACCCCGAAACCAGGUGAGCUACCCCGAGACAGCCUAUUAAGGGCCAACCCGUCUCUGUGGCAAAAGAGUGGGAAGAGCUCUGGGUAGAAGUGACAGACCUACCGAACCUGGUGAUAGCUGGUUGCCUAAGAAAUGAAUAGAAGUUCAGCCUCGUAUGCCUCAAACCAACAAACCUUAUACCAAGAUACUAAGAGACAAACACGAGAGUUAGUUAAAGGGGGUACAGCCCCUUUAACAAAGGAUACAACCUUACCUAGGAGAAUAAAGAUCACAAUACAAAAAACAUACUGUUCUAGUGGGCCUAAAAGCAGCCAUCUAAACAGAAAGCGUUAAAGCUCAGACAGAUAAAAGUUUAUUAUCCUGAUAAAAUAUCUUAUUUCCCUAAACACUAUUAGGCUAAUCCAUGCCCACAUGGAAGAAAUUAUGCUAAAAUGAGUAACAAGAAGGCCCGCCCUUCUCCAAGCACAAGUGUAAGCCAAAUCGGACUAACCAUUGGCAAUUAACGAACUCAACCAAAGAGAGUAAUGUGAGCUAUAAAAAAAACAAGAAAAACCCACAACUAAAAAAUCGUUAACCCCACACUGGAGUGCUGCCCUAAUAGGAAAGACUAAAAGAAAAGGAAGGAACUCGGCAAACACAAGCCUCGCCUGUUUACCAAAAACAUCGCCUCCUGCAACACAGCCAAGUAUAGGAGGUCCAGCCUGCCCAGUGACUACAAGUUCAACGGCCGCGGUAUUUUGACCGUGCAAAGGUAGCGCAAUCACUUGUCUUUUAAAUAGAGACCUGUAUGAAUGGCCAAACGAGGGCUUAACUGUCUCCCUUUUCAAGUCAGUGAAAUUGAUCUGCCCGUGCAGAAGC